AAAUGAUAUUUUUUAACUUACCAACACAAAAAAAGUUCAGGAUCAGACGGAUUCACAGUUGAAUUCGACCAGACAUUCAAAGGAGAAUUGGUAUCAAUCCUAUUGAC